GACGAACGCUGGCGGCGUGCUUAACACAUGCAAGUCGAACGGUGAAGCUCCAGCUUGCUGGAGUGGAUCAGUGGCGAACGGGUGAGUAACACGUGAGCAACCUGCCCCUGACUCUGGAAUAAGCGCUGGAAACGGCGUCUAAUACUGGAUACGAGAAGGGUCCGCAUGGGCACUUUCUGGAAAGUUUUUCGGUUGGGGAUGGGCUCGCGGCCUAUCAGCUUGUUGGUGAGGUAAUGGCUCACCAAGGCGUCGACGGGUAGCCGGCCUGAGAGGGCGACCGGCCACACUGGGACUGAGACACGGCCCAGACUCCUACGGGAGGCAGCAGUGGGGAAUAUUGCACAAUGGGCGAAAGCCUGAUGCAGCGACGCCGCGUGAGGGAUGACGGCCUUCGGGUUGUAAACCUCUUUCAGCAGGGAAGAAGCGAAAGUGACGGUACCUGCAGAAGAAGCACCGGCUAACUACGUG
rnacentral:rRNA from 1 species